GUGUGUGUGUGGGUAAAACCACCCUUUAUAGGGGUACUCCUUUUUGUCCUGAAGCAUGAAUGAGGUGUGUCAAGAGUACCUUGGGGAUUGUCAUGUGUUAUGUGUAUGGACAUAAUAACCUAGGCUAGGGCACAUUUACUUAUUCUUAGAAAUCUUGUCUCAUGCUACCCUAGUACUGGCAGAUUCAGAUCAUUUAAACAUUCAAUAUUAAUAUCACCACAAACUCAAGAUAAGCAGAUGAUCCUGAAGAAGCUUUGACUGUGCGUAUGGCACCUCAGACAUGAGGGCUGCAGGGUAAGGAGUAUGUUUGUUUCUCUUUAGUUUCACGAGGUCCCCUUUUGGGGUAUUCGGCUUUCCAUCGAUGGCAGGUGGUCAGGCAUUAUUAUGGCCAUCAAAACACCCACUUGUUGAUAUUUAUUUAUUUAUUUAUUUUCAACAAGUAUCUUUGUUCUCUAAGAAUGGAGUUUCAAAAAGGGUUGUCAAGAUCAACAAAUGCUACUUCACAUAAUGCAGAGGCAGGCUUGAUUCUGGAAUGAUGAAUCCACGGGGUGAUCUCUGUAACUUUCACAGUGCACUACUCAGCAUGUGGUCUUGGUUAUCACUUUGGUGGCUGGAUAGGCCUCUGGCCAUCCUGAAAACAUGUCUGCUAUAAUUAGUGCAUAGUUGAAUCAGCCAUUCUUUGGCAUUCUGGAUGUAGUCGACUUGACUCCUCUGGAAGAGAUAAUGAGGUUUGGCUAGAUGCUUUGGCUCCAUUCUUCCUGAGUUGCCCUUGGCACAAAUGGCACAAGAUUUACAGUAACUGUUGGUCAGAGAGGCAAUUCCUGAUACUUCAGAGUAUUUAUUGAUCAAAAGAGUUCAUGAGGGUUCUGGACAGAUGCUCCGUAGGCCCACUGGACCACUGCUGAGUAUAUGUUCUUGGGCAAGUAGAACUUGAGAUUGUUGAAGUACAGCCUGUCUUUAAGAGUUGCCCCUUUCUGUUUCCAGCUUGUGGUUUGUUUGUUUUUUCUUUCUUUCCAGGGUCAGUAGCUUGAGGUCUGUGGGUAGGAUCUUACAUGGUGAAUAUGGGAGUUUCUUCAGUAGACACUUUUCUGUCCACUUUCCUUAGUGCACUUACAACUUAUUGAACAACUUAGUCAGCCAGAGAGUUGCCACAUGCUUUCUCCGAGAUCAGUCUUCCUUCAGAGAUCUUGCAUGCUGUGAUGGGAGCCUAUAGCUCAACUUCUUGUGCAGACAUUGUUGAGGUGAGAUACCUGGUCCACUGUAGUGACAGCAAAUCCGGAACAGAUCAUAAGAAAAAUGCUAAAAAAAAAUAAUAGUCAGUGUCUUAUCAUUUCCCCCCUUGGGAAGUGGCAGAAGAGUGGCCAGGUAAAUAGAGUAUCAUCCCUGCAGGGUGACAUUAUCCUGCACAGAAUUCGUCCAUCACAAGGAGAGGUGGGAUAUUGCAUGGAAAGUCUCAGGUAACCAGGGCACCAUUCGACACCAGAGCCUUAACCUGUUAGGGAAUAGUAAGAGCUUGGACAGGCUUUGGGGCCUGUAUAAUUCAGGUAAAGGUAUUGGGGGAACUAGCUAGGACCCUUGCCUCUUGGUCAGGUUUCACUGUGUGGAACAAAAUAAAUAAUAAGGUGAUAGGGGCCUGCAAGUGGGGGAAGGACAUCUGCACCUAGCAGAUUAAUUGGACAGGUGAAAGUAACCACAAAGCAAGGCUUAGUUAACAGGCUACUCCAAGGAGAGCCAUCUACACUUAUGCAGGAGACAACAAUGUUAGACAGGAAUGAGGAGUCAGGCAGGCCUUGCUUGGUACAAAUAGAUGUCAUGUGGCCUGCUAUACAAGGCUGCAUAUAGUUGUUGGGCAUGGGCCUUACUAUGUACUAAAACUUAAGUUAAAAGAAAAUUUGGGACAACCUGAAGUGAUACUUCUCCACAGAUGCUAACUCAUCGUUGAUGACAUUGUUAAUACAGGUAGCCUGAUCAGCCAAUUUAUCUUAGGCUUAAACAAGUCACACCAUGUAGUGGAAUUGGUCAUUAGGAUUCGGGAAAUUCUACAGUAAAAGGGCAUAGUAAGGAUGUACGCGAUGUUACUUUAGGAGUAGGCGUAGCUGUGGAUAGGGGUAAAUCAGCCUUAUCCAUUCCCAUAUAUUAUUCCUUUUGUCUUCAGUAUAUCCAAACCAUGUGUAUGUCCAGGCGUUGCAAUAUACAGUAAUCCAUUAUCAGUCAUGAUAUUAAAAUCUCAUUCUCAUGAAUUAAAUCAAAGAUUUUAAAUCAACCUCAGAAGCAACAAAGAAUAAAUCUAUUGUUUUUUCUUCUGUAAAAUGAUUGGAGUUACUAUAUAAUUGCAUACACCCAACAUAACAUUGCAUGUUCCUCACUGCUACAUUAGUGUAUCUCAUUCUGCCAUAUGUGCAAACUUGAUUUAAAUUUUUAUUUUAAUUAACCUAAUACUUUCUUAUAACACAUAUAAAAACAAUGAAAGACAGUACAGACUAACAAUUCAUUUAAAACAAUAAACUGACAUAGAUCUCUAUUCUUGUGCUGUUCUUAAUUCUGGAAUCAGCCUGUGUACAUCUGUUGGCAGACAUAUCCAUGCUCAUUCCCUAAACUGAUCAUAUCUCUUGAAGUUAUCUGAUUCUUAUAACUUUCUGUGUUACGCUGCAUUGCUUGUCUGUCUCCUAAUUUCCAUAUAUUAUUUUAUCAUUGUCCUCAAAUUUUACAAGCGUGGUCAGUCUACAUGCCAUUUGAGUCGGCAGCCAUAUUUUAAACAAUCUAUUCCUUUGUUCGUCAUUUAGGCUGUAUUUGUCCACAUUUGACUCAAACAUUCCAGCAUUAGUAAAUGCAUCCACUGACGUGUCAUAAACUGGAAUACAUUUCACAAUUUUCAUUAAUUGUUCAUGUAUUUUCAAAUUAAGUUUUGCAGCUCUGUCUUGAAAUUUAUAUUUUCUGCAAAUCACUCUGUGAGGAUACAUUUUCAGUAUCUAUUGGUUCUGGGAUUAGAUUCUGUGUCUGUAUUUUUCUUGUAUUAACACACACUUGCUUAACUUCAUUUCUAAGCUGGCAAAUAAGAUCAUUUCUUAGUUCAACUCUAUCCUCUAAUUCACAGACUGUUUCUGACUGUUUACAGCAUGUGCUCCCUGUUACAUUGUUACACUGUUCAUUUAAAUCUGAUUUGUCUUCUGUUAACCCAUUCAAAUCUACUUCUUUUUCUGAUGAUUCUAAAUUGUCUUGACCUGCAUUACGUUUACAAAUCUAUGCACUGUAAGUACAGACUAGUUUCAUAACAUUUCUGAUCUUUUUUUUUUUUAUUAACAAACAAUUUCUUGGCAAUUUCACUAUUGGCAAUUUCACAUUGUGUGUAUAAAGAUUGCCACAAUACAGC
rnacentral:lncRNA from 1 species